rnacentral:rRNA from 1 species
UACGAAGGGGGCUAGCGUUGUUCGGAAUUACUGGGCGUAAAGCGCGCGUAGGCGGUGAUCUUUGUCAGAGGUGAAAGCCCGGGGCUCAACUCCGGAAUUGCCUUUGAAACGGGAUUGCUUGAGUCCGAGAGAGGAUGGCGGAAUUCCUAGUGUAGAGGUGAAAUUCGUAGAUAUUCGGAGGAACACCAGUGGCGAAGGCGGCUCACUGGUCCGGUACUGACGCUGAGGUGCGAAAGCGUGGGGAGCAAACAGG